CUUUUAGGAAACGGACUUCCGGUUUUUCCACAGAGGAGCGCCAUCGCCCUUCGAAGCCGGGCGGGAAGAAGAAGAGCGGAAGAAGAGGAAGAGCCUCAGCAAAAAUGUUGGUGUUUUCUAAAGGGCGUUCCCUGAUCCGGUUGUUUGCUCGCCGUUCUUCUCUCCUGGGAUGGACCUGCUCUGGAUUUAGGACUUCUUUCUGUGUCUCUAAAGGUCUUCAUUCCAGCUACGGACACGUUUCCCCUGUCUUCACUAGAGCUCUGGCGUUUGGAGAGAAAACUGCCAUUGUGGACCGAAAUGGAGAGCAUACCUAUCGAGAGGUCUAUGCCCGAAGCCUCCAACUCUCCCAGAGAAUCUGUAAGACUCUCGGGAACGUGAGCGGAGACCUGAAAGGAGAAAGGAUUGCCUUUUUGUGCCCCAAUGAUGCCUCCUAUGUUACAGCCCAGUGGGCGUCCUGGAUGAGUGGCGCCAUUGCUGUUCCUCUCUACCAAAAACACCCCACACCAGAACUGGAGUAUUUCAUCCAGGACUCACAAAGCGCCCUCCUGGUUGUAGAGGAAGGCUACUUGGACAAAGUCACUCCAAGUGCAGAGAAACUUGGGAUCCCGGUGCUCCCCCUUCUUGGCUCUGGGAAGUCGGACUCGGUGGCAAAUGGGUCCUUUUUAGAAGCUGGCUGUCCCAUUUCGGAGUGGAAGGACCGGUGCGCCAUGAUCGUCUACACAAGUGGCACAACCGGGAGGCCCAAAGGAGUCCUCAGCACCCACCAGAACCUUCAAGCAGUGAUCACUGGGCUGGUGGACAAAUGGGACUGGACCAAGGAUGAUGUGAUUCUCCAUGUGCUGCCUCUUCACCAUGUCCACGGCAUUGUCAACAAGCUCCUGUGUCCCCUCUGGGUGGGCGCCACUUGCGUCAUGCUCCCUGAAUUCAAUGCGCAGACGGUUUGGGAGACGUUCCUGAACCCCCAAGCCCACCGGGUCAACGUCUUCAUGGCCGUGCCGACCAUUUACGCCAAACUGACGGAGUAUUAUAGCCAGCACUACGCUCAGCCUCAUGUCCAGGAUUUCAUCCGCGCUGUUUGCCACAAUAACAUUCGGUUGAUGGUCUCUGGGUCUGCGGCCCUCCCUGUUCCCGUCCUGGAGAAAUGGAAGAGCAUCACGGGGCACACGCUGCUGGAGAGAUACGGCAUGACGGAGGUCGGGAUGGCCCUUUCCAACCCUCUGCGAGGCCCUCGGGUCCCAGGAUCAGUGGGGAAUCCGCUGCCUGGGGUAAAAGUCCGCAUUGCCACAGAAAGCUUGCAAAGAGAUGUUCCAGCUUAUACUGUCCACGCAGAAGGAGACGAGGAUGGCACCAAGGUGACUCCCGGUUUGGAGGACAAGGAAGGGGAGCUCUUUGUGAAGGGGCCGACAGUGUUUCGGGAAUACUGGAACAAACCCACGGAGACCAAGGAUGCUUUUACUCCCGACGGCUGGUUCAAAACAGGAGACACAGCUGUGUAUAAAGAUGGCACCUACUGGAUCCGAGGACGCACCUCUGUCGACAUUAUCAAAAGCGGCGGAUACAAAAUCAGCGCCUUGGAAGUGGAACGGCAUUUGUUGGCCCACCCGAGCAUUGCUGAUGUGGCGGUGAUUGGGGCCCCAGACCCGAUGUGGGGCCAGAGGGUCAGUGCGGUGGUCGAGCUCCAACAAGGCCAUACGUUGUCGCUCAAGGAGCUGAAGGAAUGGGCAAGGAAGUCCAUGGCGUCCUACACCAUCCCUUCCGAGCUCCUUCUGGUGGAGGAGAUCCCGCGGAACCAAAUGGGCAAAGUGGACAAGAAGCAGCUCCUCAGGCACUUCUACUCAUCCAUUUAAGAGAACUGCUUUGGCAGCCUUGGCCCGAAAGAGACCAAACAACGGCAAUCAGGUUCUUCCAAAACAGCAAUUGGAUCCUGCUCUCUUCCCAGGUCACUUUCAGCCUUAUCAUCAUGUCAAAGGUCUUUCCUGCAGUCCUGGGUCCACAAACCACUGAAGGCCCUGACCAUCAUCUAACAGCCCAUUGGUGACUUAUACAGGUAUAAUAUCUAAGGAAUCCCUCAUUCUAAUCCUAUUUUCUAGUCUGGCUACUACUACUAUGAGUAGAUCAAUAGGAACCGCUCCGGCGGGAAGGUAACGGUGCUCCAUGCAGUCGUGCCAGUGGCCACAUGACCUUGGAGGUGUCUAUGGACAACGCCGGCUCUUUGGCUUAGAAAUGGAGAUGAGCACCAACCCCCAGAGUCGAAUACGACUGGACUUAACAUCAGGGGGAACCUUUACCUUUACCUACUAUAUCAUAUAUGAGAUUUCACCUUGGAAGGUCCUUAGGGACUUAACGUCAGGGGAUACCUUUUCCUUUACCUGCUACUACUACUACUACUACCAAUAAUAAUAAUAGUAAUAAUAAUAUCUUUAUUCUUGUAUCCUGCCCCAUCUCCGCGAGGGGACUCAGGGCGGCUCACUUGGGGACCAGGCCCAACAAUAUAUAAUAAAAUAAAACAAUAUAAAAUACAUACCAAUCACAACAAAUUAAUGUAUCAAAACUGUAAAACACAACAUCACUUAGUGAUUCCACCCACGAAAGCCUUUGACAACACAACAACAACAACAACAACAACAACAACUAGUAGUAGUAGUAGUAGUAGUGUAAGACAAGGUGACCAAUACCGCCCACCCGGAACGGGCCAAAAGAACAACAGCCUUUAGAUCCUCCGUCCCCCAUCUGUCACUGUGCCAAAUCCCGGACGAGCCCCCAGAUUUAUGUAAGACAAUUUAUCUCAAAAAGGAGUUCUGGCAAAGGAGGCAAUGAGACAGAAAAUCCAGUCUCAUGAGAGUACAAAAACAAAGUUUAUUUUCACAUAGCUAUGAGAAGGCGGGACAGCCGUACACCCCAAAAGGUUUGUACUUGCAAAUGGCUGCCGCGAAGCGUGGCGUUGUAAACAAAGGAUAUAUAACUCAGCUUAUCUAAACUUGACCAAUUACUGAGGGUCUUCUUCACCUCCACACUUCUUUGGCACAAGUGGUGUCUAUGAUCUCACUUGUUGAUCUCAAGCUAGCAUUUGGCCUUGGAACUUUCUGGAGAAAGGUACCAGCUCAAGAGAAAGGGAGGAGCACAGGUCCUUUGUUACUUUGGCUCAUACAAAGAGUGAUGGGGGAGGGGGGGGGUUAAAUCAGCUCUGCACCACCCUGAUUUAUUGGUGAUCCAGGCCUCUUACCAAUCCAUCCUCAGUCAGACUGCUUGACCGUCUGGAUAAGCAGCACCGACAAACGACACCACAGUCGUUAAUCAGCUGUACACAGCGGUUCUAAGACUUUAUUAUUUACAAGUAUAUACAACUACAAAGCCCAUCACUCAUAGGACACAUGCUUUCUUAAACAAAGCAAAACACUUCCUCUCUCUUUGCAACAGCACAUUCCACAGCAGAAUGACAAACGUCUCCAGAGACCGGAAGUCACGACCUAUUGGCUCAGCAGACUAUCACUCAAACUGGCCUGCCGUUAACACUUGUGCUGCUAGAAAGCAUGUCCGGAAUACACAGUUGUAAACCUCCAACAGUAAAACACUUGAUUCAUCAUUUCACCCUUACACCAAAAUACACCAACAAAGAACUCGUUGUCUAUAUGAAGCUAAUAUGAUAUAAACAGAGGCAAAGCUAUAUAUUAGACAUGUCCAAAAUAUCGUUUUGAAUCGUAUAUCGGAAUUAUUUUGGAUUGUUCUCGCUUUUUGAUACGCAUUCUGAUACAUUGUCUCACAGCGCAACCAGCAAUGUAAUUCGAACCAUUGUUGGCCCAUUCUCUAAUUGUCUCUUAAUGUUUCGUUAAUUCCCCCCCCCCAAAUUUUUUAAAAUAUAUUUUUUAAAAUAUAUAUUUUUUAAUUUUUGUUUCUGCAACCUACGUAGAAUGGGAGCUUAGCGCAGCCUAACAUGGCUGCCGCUACCCGGCCAAUCAGAAGCUUCCACGAUGGACGCAAAGGUGGAGGCGAGGGUUGAUGAGGAUAGCUCAAGAAAUGAGGGUGGGAGAACCCUGGAAAAGUCCUCCCCGGUUCCUUUUUUUUUGGCGAUUGCGUGUGCACGUCCGCCAUUUUAAAAACAUUUAGAAUCAUUACGAAUUUUUGGAAAUAUCUGAAAUUUUGGGGUGAAAAAAUCGGAAAUACUUUCUAUAUCGAAGCGCCAGCGCCCCUUACUUUAGAAACGAGAAUUGAAACAUUUUUUUCAUCGAUCGGACAUGUCUACUAUAUAUAUGCAGAAGUCUACUAAUUUCUGGCCCAUGGUCCCUUCAGUAGUAGUAGUAGUGUUUGGUUCUUUCACUCCCUGUGUCUUUUGAAUCAGCUUCUCAGCUUGCACACAUUUUAUGCAAUUACCAUCAUCGCUUUGGGGAGGAACGGUCAAGGCACAACCCAGGUUGGCUGUUCUCUAAAUGGGGCUCCGGGACCCUCCUGGGAUUUGGGGUCUGGGUACUGGGAUCAUUUGUUUUUAUACAAUUACCAUCCUUGCUUUGGGGAGGAACGGUUAAGGCACAAUCCAGGUUGGCUGUUCUCUAAAUGGGGCUCCGGGACCGUCCUGGGAUUUGGGGUCUGGGUACUGGGAUCAUUUGUUUUUAUACAAUUACCAUCUUCGCUUUGGGGAGGAACGGUCAAGGCACAACCCAGGUUGGCUGUUCUCUAAACGGGGCUCCGAGACCGUCCUGGGAUUUGGGGUCUGGGUACUGGGAUCAUUUGUUUUUAUACAAUUACCAUCCUCGCUUUGGGGAGGAACGGUCAAGGCACAAUCCAGGUUGGCUGUUCUCUAAAUGGGGCUCCGAGACCGUCCUGGGAUUUGGGGUCUGGGUACUGGAAUCAUUUGUUUUUAUACAAUUACCAUCUUCGCUUUGGGGAGGAACGGUCAAGGCACAACCCAGGUUGGCUGUUCUCUAAACGGGGCUCCGGGACCGUCCUGGGAUUUGGGGUCUGGGUACUGGAAUCAUUUGUUUUUAUACAAUUACCAUCCUCGCUUUGGGGAGGAACGGUCAAGGCACAACCCAGGUUGGCUGUUCUCUAAACGGGGCUCCGAGACCGUCCUGGGAUUUGGGGUCUGGGUACUGGGAUCAUUUGUUUUUAUACAAUUACCAUCCUCGCUUUGGGGAGGAACGGUCAAGGCACAAUCCAGGUUGGCUGUUCUCUAAAUGGGGCUCCGGGACCGUCCUGGGAUUUGGGGUCUGGGUACUGGGAUCAUUUGUUUUUAUACAAUUACCAUCCUCGCUUUGGGGAGGAACGGUCAAGGCACAACCCAGGUUGGCUGUUCUCUAAACGGGGCUCCGAGACCGUCCUGGGAUUUGGGGUCUGGGUACUGGGAUCAUUUGUUUUUAUACAAUUACCAUCCUCGCUUUGGGGAGGAAUGGUCAAGGCACAAUCCAGGUUGGCUGUUCUCUAAAUGGGGCUCCGAGACCGUCCUGGGAUUUGGGGUCUGGGUACUGGAAUCAUUUGUUUUUAUGCAAUUACCAUCCUCGCUUUGGGGAGGAACGGUCAAGGCACAAUCCAGGUUGGCUGUUCUCUAAAUGGGGCUCCGGGACCGUCCUGGGAUUUGGGGUCUGGGUACUGGAAUCAUUUGUUUUUAUGCAAUUACCAUCCUCGCUUUGGGGAGGAACGGUCAAGGCACAAUCUAGGUUGGCUGUUCUCUAAAUGGGGCUCCGGGACCGUCCUGGGAUUUGGGGUCUGGGUACUGGAAUCAUUUGUUUUUAUGCAAUUACCAUCCUCGCUUUGGGGAGGAACGGUCAAGGCACAAUCUAGGUUGGCUGUUCUCUAAAUGGGGCUCCGGGACCGUCCUGGGAUUUGGGGUCUGGGUACUGGAAUCAUUUGUUUUUAUGCAAUUACCAUCCUCGCUUUGGGGAGGAACGGUCAAGGCACAAUCCAGGUUGGCUGUUCUCUAAAUGGGGCUCCGGGACCGUCCUGGGAUUUGGGGUCUGGGUACUGGGAUCAUUUGUUUUUAUACAAUUACCAUCAUCACUUUGGGGAGGAACGGUCAAGGCACAACCUAGGUUGGCUGUUCUCUAAACGGGGCUCCGGGACCGUCCUGGGAUUUGGGGUCUGGGUACUGGAAUCAUUUGUUUUUAUACAAUUACCAUCAUCACUUUGGGGAGGAACGGUCAAGGCACAACCUAGGUUGGCUGUUCUCUAAACGGGGCUCCGGGACUGUCCUGGGAUUUGGGGUCUGGGUACUGGGAUCAUUUGUGCCAUGGCAUGAGCCUCGCUGGGGAUUUCACCGCUCCGCUCAGUGCACUUCGAAAUGCUUUUACAGCCUCGCCAUUCCUCUGCAGAAGGCAGGCCCAAGGGAGCUCCAUCCAUUUGCUGCUCCUCGCUUGUCUCCGCAUCUCAUCGGCCCUGGCCUUGCGUCACCUUGAGUGUCCAAGGGACCGGCUCCCAGGUGACAAGACACUUCCAGCAUCCCUCUCCUUUCCCUGCUUUUUGUCAGGUUCUUCUCUCUUCUAAUAGCAUCCAAGCCAGACUUGCCUGCCUUCUUAUUUUUUUACUGCGCCGUAAAAGAGCCCCUCAUUAGGGCAGCCUGUAAUCUCAACACGGGGACAGCUAAUAACCCGCUGUAAAUUGCGAUCUGUCCUUUUGCACGCUCCGGCACACUCUCCUUCUGUUUGACUACAGAUGCAGGGAAAGGUGGGGGAAGGAGCCGUCAUUAGAGGAGAGCAAAAGAGUCCCAGCCUCUUUUAAUAACCUGGGCACGCCUCGGCUGCUCUUCCUCUCUCUUUCCCAUUCUCUCUAUUUCUCUUUGCAUUCCCGCCCUUCCCAUAUGAAUCCCUUCUAACCCCCCCAAAAAUCUGAAGGGUUAUGCAUAAGGUUUGUUAACUAUGAACCCUUCAAAUCUGUGCAACACACCUACGUUUUGCAACACUCUGCAAGGCCAUCUACACCAGGCCUGGUCCAACUUGAGCCCUCCAGGUGUUUUGGACUUGAACUCCCACAUACCGUGUUUCCCCGAAAAUAAGACAGCGUCUUAUAUUAAUUUUUGCUCCCAAAGAUGUGCUAGGUCUUAUUUUCAGGGGAUGUCUUAUUUUUCCAUGAAGAAGAUUUCACAUUUAUUGUUGAACAAAAAAAUGAACAUUUAUUAUAUACUGUACAGUAGCUGUCAUCACAAACCAGCAUAACCAGACAAACUGAAUCCUAUCAAGAAUUUCUUGUUACCAUUAUUUCCAUGUACAACUGGUAUGUACAUUUACCAAUCCUGAAUGCUCUGGUAUUCUGUUUGGCAGGCAUUGGGCAUGCUUCCAAACAAAAACUUUGCUAGGUCUUACUUUUGGGGGAGGCCUUAUAUUUAGCAAUUCAGCAAAACUUCUACUAGGUCUUAUUUUUCGGGGAUGUCUUAUUUUCGGGGAAACAGGGUAUCUGUGGAACAACAGGGGAAUUCCAGACAAGAAAUACACUACAUAUCAAUUAAAAUAGUUUUUCAAACGAUUCAAGUAUCAAAAGUCUAGCACCAACUGAGCUUUUUAAACACUGAACCAAUUGUGCUGUCGAAGGCUUUCAUGGCCGGAAUCACUGAGUGGUUGUGAGUUUUGGCCAUGUUCCAGAAGCAUUCUCUCCUGACAUUUGGCCCACAUCUAUGGCAGGCACCCUCAGAAGGUUGUGCAAUCUGUUGUCCCUCAACCUCUGAGGAUGCCUGCCAUAGAUGUGGGCGAAACGUUAGGAGAGAAUGCUUCUGGAACAUGGCCAGACAGCCCAGAAAACUCAUAGCAACCUGGUGAUUCCGACCAUGAAAGCCUUCAACAACUUAUUAGAGUUGUUUAAUAACCUAGACAGCCUAGUUAACGAUAAGUGAAGAAUGAAUCUGAUCCUGGCCAGUCAGGUCUUGCUUUUUGAACCAUUUAACCCAGGGGUCCCCAAACUAAGGCCCGGGGGCCUGAUGCGGCCCAUCGACGCUACUUAUCCGGCCCCCAUGGCACAAGGGCAGAAGGGGGUUGGACUAAAUGACCCAAGGGGUCUCUUCUUCUCUCACAACCAUUAUUAUUAUUAUUAUUAUUAUUAUUAUUAUUAUUAUUAUUAUUAUUAUUAUAUUGUAUGACACAGCAAACAAGAUAGAUAUGCUGGAUUUCGUAUCACAAAAUCACAUUAUUAUUAUUAUUAUUAUUAUUAUUAUUAUUAUUAUUAUUAACAUUGAGGCUGGGUGGCCAUCUGUCAGGGGUGCUUUGCUAGUGCUUUUGAUGCAGAAAGGCAGAAGGGGACAUAUUGUAUGACACAGCAAACAAGAUAGAUAUGCUGGAUUUCGUAUCACAAAAUCACAUUAUUAUUAUUAUUAUUAUUAUUAUUAUUAUUAUUAUUAUUAUUAUUAACAUUGAGGCUGGGUGGCCAUCUGUCAGGGGUGCUUUGCUAGUGCUUUUGAUGCAGAAAGGCAGAAGGGGAUUGGACUCAAUGGCCCAAAGGGUCUCUUCCAACCCUUAUUAUUAUUGUUGUUGUUGUUGUUGUUGUUGUUGUUGUUGUUGUUGUUGUUAUUAACAUUGAGGCUGGGUGGCCAUCUGUCAGGGGUGCUUUGCUUGUGCUUUUGGUGCACAAAGGCAGAAGGGGGUUGGACUUACUGGCCCAAGAGGUCUUUUCCAACCCUCUUUAUUAUUAUUAUUAUUAUUAAUAAUAAUAACAAUAAUAAUAAACAUUGAGGCUGGGUGGCCAUCUGUCAGGGGUGCUUUACUUGUCCUUUCAGUGCACAAAGGCAGAAGGGGAUUAGACUCAAUGGCCCAAAGGGUCUCUUCCAACCCUCUUUUGUUGUUGUUGUUGUUGUUGUUGUUGUUGUUGUUAUUAUUGAUUGGUGGCCAACUAUAGUCCGGCCCUCCAAUGGUCCGAAGGAUCAUGAACCGGCCCCCUGUUUAAAAAGUUUGGGGACCCCUGAUUUAACCAAUUGCUUUGCUGUUCUUCCGUCAUACUUAUGGGUCAUAUUAAUCCCCAAAGGCUUGCUUAAAUAGGCAAGUCUUAAGAUCCUUCCUGAAGCUUUAUGUACCCUCACUAGGCUGAAAUGCAUUGAUUUUUCCCUUUCCAGAAUUAAAAUAGAUAACAACAAUCCACGCAAUGGGAUUUUGGGCCGGCAAUCCCUUUCAAGGUAGCCCUAAUCAAUCCGUCAAUAGCCAUAUUGAUCCCAGAACCCGGAGCGGAGAGUCCUGUCCCUAUUAAAGGGCUUGCAACAAGAAACACAAUGUGCCGUAUGUAUUAUGGGAUGCGCCUUGUUCGGACCCGUGAGCGGCCGGACCGAAGCGAUGCCUUCUCCCUCCGUUUUCCCCACUUGCCCUAUAGAUCAAUAUCAAAUUAUCAUGUAUCACAUUCAUAACUCUUAAGCAAGCCGCGAUGGGGAGAGACAAGGUCGCUGGAGAAUAAAUCGCAGGCCCGGCCCGGCGCGAUCUAUCAUCCCCGGCACCUUGCGCCGGGGCCACUGACAAGAUCAUUAAUAAAACCCUGCCGUUGCCCGAUCGAUGGGUUUGAUGGAUGAGCCCAGGUAGCAAAUACAGUAAAACAGCUGCCUGUCACGCUUCGGUGAGGGAUGUCAGGCGGAGGGGGCUUUGUGCCGUUUUUUAGGAUCUUUAUAUUCUUUAUUUACGGAUUUCAAAGCCAUGCUGCUUUUGAACUUGGCCUCCUCGGUGGGGCAAGGAGAGAGACCUCCAGACCACUGACAUCUCCUCCGAGAGAAAGAAAGAAAGAAAGAAAGAAAGUGGGGAAGACACCUCCUUCUUCCUCCAGCGCUUCGCUCUUUAUAGCUGACAUUAUCUUUUAUUGCCAUAUAAAAUCCCAGGCUCCGGUGCCUUUAUUAUUGCCGCUUCUGCUGCUGCUGUUUUGGCAUUCAGGGCCACGGCUGCUGCAAGAAUGGCGGAUCUCAUCCCGUUCAAAGAGGGUUUGAUAAGGGUCUUCUUCACCUCUCCAAGAGUCCCAAUACUGCUAUUUAUUUAUUGAUUUACUAGCUGUGCCCGGCCACGCGUUGCUGUGGCAAAGUGGUGGUGGUAUUGGUUAAAAAUUGUGUAAUUUUUAUUUGACGUUAUUUGCAUUUUUUAAUUAAUUUUAUUGUAAGUUAUAUUUUUAUUUAUUAUAUUUUAUUAUUUUCUUGUAUUAUUUUUAGUUAUUUUCUGUUAUUAUAGUAUUUUAUUGUAUUAAUUUUUAGUGUUUUUUAUUAUUUUUUAUUGGGUUACUAGGAGACCAAGUUGGAGGAACUUAGCCUUCUAACUGGCAGCAAUUGGAUAAAAGCAAUUAUUCCUCUCUCUCAAAUUAGGACUUUAUUUUUCUUUUCUUUUUGUUGUAUCAACCUAGAGGCGUGGAUGAUGGGUUGUGUUGUCAAAUUUCGAGGUUGGGGGCCUGUAGUUUUGUUGUUUUGUGGGUUGCCGUGAUGCCAUCACUCUUUUAUAUAUAUAGAUUUACAGUAUUUAUAUUCCGCCCUUCUUUCUCACCCCGAAGGGGACUCAGGGCGGAUUACAAUGAACACAUACAUGGCAAACAUUCAAUGCAAGCAACAGACAAACAACAUAUAUAGACAGACACAGAGGCAUUUAACAUUCUUUUCCAGCUUCACAAUUCCGGCCACAGGGGGAGCUUUUGCCUCACUGUCCACUAGUGGAUGUACUUCCUCAUUCCUUUCCUCAUGUUUUGCUGGCAGUUUUAAUGAUGUUGUAAAUUAGUCAAAUUAGCCUCCUGCAUAAAGCGGACCUAAAUUUCCCUACUUCACAGAUGCAACUGUCUUUCGGGGCUGCAUAGGUCAACAGCAAGCUGGGCUAUUUAAUGGUCGGGGGCUUAACCCAACCCGGGCUUCGAACUCAUGACCUCUCGGUCAGUAGUGAUUUAUUGCAGCUGGUUACUAGCCAGCUGCGCCACAGCCCAGCCCGGCCAAAGGACAUCUAGUCUGACCACAUUUUGCCAUUCGGGAAGACACAUUCAAAGCCUUCCCGACAGAUGGCCAUCCAGCCUCUUUUGUUACAAUCAUAGAAUCCUAGAGUUGGAAGAGACCCCCCAAGGGUCAUCUAGUCUGACCCCAUUUUGUCAAACAGGAA